rnacentral:rRNA from 1 species
AACGAACGCUGGCGGCAUGCCUAACACAUGCAAGUCGAACGAGAUCUUCGGGUCUAGUGGCGCACGGGUGCGUAACGCGCGGGAAUCUGCCCUUUGGUUCGGAAUAACAGUUGGAAACGACUGCUAAUACCGGAUGAUGACGAAAGUCCAAAGAUUUAUCGCCAGAGGAUGAGCCCGCGUAGGAUUAGCUAGUUGGUGUGGUAAAGGCGCACCAAGGCGACGAUCCUUAGCUGGUCUGAGAGGAUGAUCAGCCACACUGGGACUGAGACACGGCCCAGACUCCUACGGGAGGCAGCAGUGGGGAAUAUUGGACAAUGGGCGAAAGCCUGAUCCAGCAAUGCCGCGUGAGUGAUGAAGGCCUUAGGGUUGUAAAGCUCUUUUACCCGGGAUGAUAAUGACAGUACCGGGAGAAUAAGCUCCGGCUAACUCCAUGCCAGCAGCCGCAGUAA